AUGGCCGCUCUCUCAUCACCUUCCCGUAUUCUCAUCUUUAUACUGGUACUACUACUCUCCACCGUCUCCGCUGCUGCUGCUUCUUCUUCUUCUUCUUCUUCCCGUCUGACCAGCGGCAAUGGCAGUGACACCGAUCUUGCCGCGCUGCUGGCUUUCAAAGCCCAGCUCGCCGACCCUCUCCGCAUCCUUGCCGGCAACUGGACCACCGGCACUCCUUUCUGUCGUUGGGUUGGCAUCUCGUGCAGCCGACAUAGGCAACGUGUCACUGCUGUAUCGUUGCCGCACGCACCUCUCGUUGGAUCCGUGGCACCUCAUGUCGGUAACCUCUCUUUCCUUUCUGUUCUCAACCUCACUCUCACCAACCUCACAGGCCCAAUUCCACCCGAACUUGGCAGGCUACAUCGUCUUACAUAUCUUGGUCUUGCAAGAAAUAGCCUGUCAAACACCAUACCUACUACCCUAGGGAACCUCACAAGGCUCAAGUCCCUUGACCUAGGUUUCAACCAACUCUCAGGCCAGAUUCCCGUUGAGAUGCUGCUACGUAUGCACAACCUUAUGGUAAUUAAUUUGUUCAGCAAUGAUCUGAGUGGCCAAAUACCACCACAUUUGUUCAACAACACGCCUUUCUUGAAGGUCAUCAGUUUUGGAAAUAACAGCCUGGGUCCUAUACCACACGUCGUUGCACGAUUAUCCAUGCUUGAGAUAUUGGACAUGGAGCGUAAUCAACUCUCUGGCCUAGUACCGCAAGCCAUAUACAACAUGUCCAGGCUACAAAUCAUGGCAUUUGCAUAUAACGGUAACCUAGCUGGAAUAUUUCCGAGCAAUCAAAGUUUUAACCUCCCACUGUUGCGCUUUAUUUCACUAUAUAGAAACAAUUUCGCCGGUCAGUUUCCAUCAGCGCUUGAAUCAUGCCGGUACCUAGAGGUGCUUGAUUUGGGUGACAAUUUUUUGUGGACGUUGUGCCAAUAUGGUUAG
rnacentral:rRNA from 1 species